GGACCAAACCAAGUGGGUGAUGUGGACCACACGUAUGCAACUGUUUGGCCCUGGCUGCUUGGUCUUGACUGCGGUUUUCUUGUCUGAUCUAAGAACUAUUUGGUAUAUACCCAGAAAACCAAAAAUCACAAUAUAACAAAGACAUCUGUACCAGAAUGUUUAUUGCAGCCUAAUUCAUAAUUGUUAAGUCAUGAAAGAAGCCCAAGUGCCCAUCAACCCACAAAUGGACUAGCAAAUUGUGGUACAUGUAUACCAUGGAAUAUUAUGCAGCCUUAAAGAAAGAUGGAGACUUUACCUCUUUCAUGCUUACAUGGAUGGAGCUGGAACAUAUUCUUCUUAGCAAAGUAUCGCAAGAAUGGAAGAAAAAGUAUCCAAUGUACUCAGCCCUACUAUGAAGCUAAUUUAUAGCUUUCCUGUGAUGACUAUAACCCAACUAUAGCACAAGAAUAUGGGGAAAGGGCCAAGGGAGGGGAAGGGAGGGGAGA